AUGCUGAACUGCAUUUAGAUUAACGGUCUAAACUCAAGAACUGGACUCGGCAUCCCUCCAUUGUCUGCACUCUUACCUGAAUGAAACUUUAGUGUCAUGAUCUGACAACCUGGAUUGGUUGUUGCCACGCCUUUGGUUUGACAAGAACUGUAAAACUAAGACCACGACAGCCGGCCCAAGAGAAGAGAGGGGUACGUCCAGGCCACAGCGGCUGGAGAGGGCACGGAGCUCCGGGGUGAAAUGCUUCAGAAAUUACCUUCAGCAGAAGCCGCAUUCUCUGGUUCUGGUUGGCUGCUGCACCCAGCAGGCCCUCGGUGUCCAGGGCGACCAGGCCGAGGGUGGGGUCGUAGGCGGCCCACACUCCCACCGUGCAAGAGCUGGGGGA